rnacentral:rRNA from 1 species
UGGGGAAUUUUGGACAAUGGGGGAAACCCUGAUCCAGCCAUCCCGCGUGUGCGAUGAAGGCCUUCGGGUUGUAAAGCACUUUUGGCAGGAAAGAAACGUCGCGGGUUAAUACCCCGCGAAACUGACGGUACCUGCAGAAUAAGCACCGGCUAACUACGUGCCAGCAGCCGCGGUAAUACGUAGGGUGCAAGCGUUAAUCGGAAUUACUGGGCGUAAAGCGUGCGCAGGCGGUUCGGAAAGAAAGAUGUGAAAUCCCAGAGCUUAACUUUGGAACUGCAUUUUUAACUACCGGGCUAGAGUGUGUCAGAGGGAGGUGGAAUUCCGCGUGUAGCAGUGAAAUGCGUAGAUAUGCGGAGGAACACCGAUGGGCGAAGGCAGCCUCCUGGGAUAACACUGACGCUCAUGCACGAAAGCGUGGGGAGCAAACAGGAUUAGAUACCCUGGUAGUCCACGCCCUAAACGAUGUCAACUAGCUGUUGGGGCCUUCGGGCCUUGGUAG